GAUGAAGGAAAUCUUGGGUUCCCCCAAUUACCAGGUCAAGGAUACUCUUUUCAUAGCUUUCGAACAAACACAUACAAACUGAGCUUUAUGGAGAGUCCCUCUGGGAUUAUGAAUGAGGAAAUCUUCGGUUGCCCCCAUUACCAAGUUCAGGAUGCUCUUUUCAUAGCUUUCGAACAAACACAUACAAACUGAGCUUUAUGGAGAGUCCCUCUGGGAUUAUGUGCUGAUGGAGGAAAUCUUGGGCUCCCCCAAUUACCAGGUCAAGGAUACUCUUUUCAUAGCUUUUGAACAAACACAUACAAACUGAGCUUUAUGGAGAGUCCCUCUGGGAUUAAGGUCAAGGAUGCUCUUUUCAUAGCUUUCGAACAAACACAUACAAACUGAUCUUUAAUGGGAAAUAAAAAAACUCGGGGGAAAUUUUAUAGACUGUAUAUGGAAAUAAACUUUAUUUAUUAGGACUCUAUGUUAUAAGGAUGACUUAAAUUUUUAAUUCCUAAUUUUAAAAUGGCAAAACUUGUCAAAAUAUAGAA